rnacentral:rRNA from 1 species
GGAUGGACCCGCGGGGCAUUAGCUAGUUGGUGAGGUAACGGCUCACCAAGGCCACGAUGCAUAGCCGACCUGAGAGGGUGAUCGGCCACAUUGGGACUGAGACACGGCCCAAACUCCUACGGGAGGCAGCAGUAGGGAAUCUUCGGCAAUGGACGAAAGUCUGACCGAGCAACGCCGCGUGAGUGAAGAAGGUUUUCGGAUCGUAAAACUCUGUUGUUAGAGAAGAACAAGGAUGAGAGUAACUG